UACGGAGGGGGCUAGCGUUGUUCGGAAUUACUGGGCGUAAAGCGCACGUAGGCGGCUUUGUAAGUUAGAGGUGAAAGCCCGGGGCUCAACUCCGGAACUGCCUUUAAGACUGCAUCGCUAGAAUUGUGGAGAGGUGAGUGGAAUUCCGAGUGUAGAGGUGAAAUUCGUAGAUAUUCGGAAGAACACCAGUGGCGAAGGCGACUCACUGGACACAUAUUGACGCUGAGGUGCGAAAGCGUGGGGAGCAAACAGGG
rnacentral:rRNA from 1 species